rnacentral:misc_RNA from 1 species
AUGUGCAUACCCACGUGUACACCAAGUUUGCAUUUUAUUUUUUCUAUUUUUGAUACAAAUAGUGAUUAAAAGUAUUAAUAAAAAAUAAAACAUUUAUUGCUAUGAUAUAGUAAACAUACUACAUUUAUUUAUGUCGCAUUGUAAGAGUGUUUUUUAUAUAUUUCCUUUGUAUUGAACGUGUAUAACCUAUACAUUUUUAAAAAUUUAUUUUACGUGAACAUUUGUUACAAUAAAUAAUGGGUAAAAAUAAUAGACAUCAAAAAAACCUUAAAGCUGAAAAGUCAAAAGUUAAACUUAAAGCGAAUAAGUCGAAAGUCUUACCGAAGGGACAAAAUGUUACUGAUAUUAAUUUCAAAGUUAAAAAAAUUGUCAUCAAGGAGCAAUUAAAACAGCAUGAACUGGAAGAAAUUCUUAGCCGACGUAAAUUAAAUGUGAAGGAUUUAUUAUCUCGUUUACAACAUUACAAUUCAACAGUACGUCAAGAAGCUAUUAAAGAGCUGAAAGAAAUAUUACUUCAAUAUCCGAAGGACGUUUUGAGCUCUCAUUUAAAUAAUUUACUACAAGGAAUUGCGUCUUUAACGUUAGAUAAAGAAAAACCAAUUCGUCAAGAUGGUGUAAAAGUUUUAAAUUUUAUUCUAGAGACAAUAUCAGCUGAACAAUUAGCACCGUUUGCUGAUAUUUUAAUUUCUUACUUGUGUUGUGCAAUGACUCAUAUACAUCCUAGUGUUAAAGAAGACUCUCUUAAUUAUUUGGAUGUAAUAGUGUUACAUUGCAAAGAAUUGAUAGCGAAGAAUACAUGUAGAAUUUUUCCACAUUUCUUGGAUAUGAUUUCACGGCAUCAUACCCAAUCUCAAACUAAUCGUCAACUUUCUAUUACUAUUAGUUCAAGAAAUACAAGCAUUAAAUGGAGAAUUAAAGUACUGGAAAGAUUAUCAAAUAUUUUCAGUGCAAUGAUUGAUAACAAGAAAUUACACCAAAUUCAAAAUAAUUCAAAAACACAAAAAAGAAUUUAUGUUGAUGAUAAAACUUUUUAUAUUCCAUUAUACAAUGAAUACAAUUUAGAAGUAUGUCGAAUUGAUUUUAGUGAAGAUAAUUCUAAUGAACUUUAUGGAAAAGAUUAUCAAGAGGCUCAUGAAUUCAAAAAGUAUAUUGAAAUUUUAAUGCCUUUAAUUUUAGACAGUUGGUUAGAAGUACGACCAAAAGAAAAAUUGACAGGCGAAGAAGCACCAUUGAUUUCUGAUGAAACUGCUAAUUAUUUGAACUCUAUCACAACAAAUAUGCAAUUGAUUAUUGAAUUUGUGGAUCUCAUUCAACCGUUACACGAUGAAAUAAGUAAAAAUAUUUGUGAUAAAUUUCAGAAUAAUUUUGUCAAAUAUUUUUUCAAUCAUUUUCCAUAUAGUAGAUCGAACACGAUCGAAAGAAGUAAGAAGCGACAAGAGGAUUUCAAAAUGUCAGAUAUUGACACUUGUUUAAAGCAGAAUUUAUCAUUAUCUUAUAUAUUUAUGUGGAUGAUUUCUGUCAAUACACUUAGGAAAUUUAGUGAAAAUACAAAAGAGAUUUGUAGAACAAUUCUAGAAUUUAUAACUGAAUCAGUUAAUAAUUGGAAGUGCAGUAAUGGUUUAAAUACACAGCUGAUAAAAUUAUUAAGAUUAAUUUUUAUUAAAUCUAGUAAAAUUUUACAUAAAAACAAUAUCAAUUUAGACUCACUUUUACGAUCGGUGAUCGUUGCAAGCUCUAAACAAUUGAAGAAAGAAUUGUUAGAAGUAUUAGGAGACAUUAUUAUUAAUACUCAUUUAAACCACUUGCACAAUGAGCCUUCGUUCAAAGAAUUUAUAAUGACUCUGCCGGAUUUAUUAUUGAAAGAAAAAAUCUAUGAUAAUACAAUAAAAAUAAUCAACAGCGUGGUACUAAGGUAUCGAAAUUGGAUAAAAGACAAACUUUUUAUGAAACAAACAGAAAUAUUAGAAAAUGCCAAAACUAUUGAAAUUAUUGAUUCAAACAAUGAUAAAGAAUCAAGAUUGAUGAUUUGUAAUUUAUUCCAUUUUUUUAAUGGAGAGAUUUAUUAUUAAAUGUUAUUAAAUCAAAUACUUUGACAAUUAUUUCGAAUUAACUUGAAUCUAUUAUGUGCUUUCACGUUUAAAGAGAAUCCAUUAAAUGAGUACUCUACCAUUAUGGGAUUAUAUCCUAAUUGAUUAUCACAUCUAAUCCGCGUAUUGAGGAUAUAAAUAUAAUUACCAGAAAAUUAUAGGCCUGACGGACGAAAUAAAGUUAUCAAUGAUCCAAACGAGUUUUUACAUAAAUUUUGCUAGUUGUGCGAUAUUCAUCACCUUUGUACUUAGCUGGCUUGGACAAAAUCUUAUUAAUCAGAAUGAAAAUUUAAAUAUCGCUCUUUAUGAUUCUGAUUAGCAUUUGCACACAAAUAAAA